rnacentral:lncRNA from 1 species
AACUGAAGCUCAGGAGGCUGCAUGGCUUUCGGGGUUCUGGGCCCCACUGUUCCCCAGUGAAUCCCUCGUGGGAAGGUUCCGGGGGCAGGUGGUGUCCUCAGAACAGCCUCGCCUGCUGACCCCACUCGGAGAGGCCCUGUGCCUCGGGCCCCUGGUGGGAGCUCUGCUGGCUCCCGUCUGACCCUCCUCGCAGGGCCGAAGGCUNNNNNNNNNNGGGAGCUGGAGGGCGUGCCCAGUGGCUGCCAGUGGAGGAAGGGGCUGACUUGGGGAGGUGAGUUCUGGAAGGCAGGGGCUCUGGGUCUGGCAGGUCAGGGUCACCAGAGCCCCAAGGCCCAGCUGCUUCACUCUGUGUCCCCCACCCCUGACCCGCCCUGGGUGGCUUCCU